CGCCAGGCACAGUGCAAUGGAUGCGUGUGAACCAUGUCAGAUCAGGAAUGAAGCAGCAUUAAGCAAGGCUAUUCAUGUGCCACUGUUCGCCUGGCAUUG
rnacentral:SRP_RNA from 1 species